ensembl:lncRNA
UGUAUCUUUCUAAGAACCUUUCAUUCCUUUCUGAGCUUUCUGAAAGAGUAAGUUCAGGGAAAAUGAUGCUAGCUAUUCACAAAGGGCUGCCAAAUGUUCAAAAUAAACAGCCAGAAAAAUAAUAUAUGUGUUUUCUUUAGCUGCCUCCCAUGACAGCAAUCUUAGCUCCUAUGCUUAAGACACAAACUUUACAGGUUAACUAUGUUUUCCCUGUAGCUGGGUAAGCAGUUACGUGCCUAAGACUUAAUUCUGCCAUUAUUGUAACGAUGAUUCCAGCAAUAACUUAGGGGGUUUUGUGUCGACAGUACAUUAUUGAAAUUGCUGCAUCCAGGAUCUUGCUCCUGGAUAACAGCUAGGAUAGUAGCAGGCUUUAUUUUAACAAAGGUUUGUUUCUCCACUGUUGUACCCAACAGACUUUUGCUAUUAAUUUUGGUAGUUACAUGGUGAGAGCCUUAGGAGAGUACCUGGCAAAAUGAUAAUUAUUCAUUAGAUAUGAUCUACAAAUAUGUGUGCAACAUAAAAGGCCAGACAAAAAUCCUAGUGUUUUAAGAGCAAUUUUACUAUCAAAACAGGACUACUAGCAGUAGAAAAGAAUGAUGUAGGUAGUACAGGGCAAUAGCAAUGGCAUAAAAGUUAACACAGAAAAACUCAGAGCAGCAGCAGAUUGUUUUCAGCAUGAAUGCAGAGGUUGCUUAAGGAAGAUGGCAGAAUCCCUGCCAUUUAGAUAAUUUAAAACUUGAGCGGCCAAAGCACGACUCAUAUUCUUAAAUUUUGCACUGAUGCAUCAGGUAAGGGACAUCUUUUCACACUUCACUAUGGGAAGUGAGUGAUACAUUGUGGAAGUAUUAUCUGUAAUGUAUUACUUCAGCACUUAGGGGAUGCAAAACUACCAUUGAUUUUUGAUUCUUUUUAGCUUGCAGUCCUGCAGAAAGCAGUAUCUUCACUGGAAGUUCUGAUAAACCUGAACAUGAACAAUGGGUAGAGAGAAAGGUAAUCUUCACACCCCAAUUCACAGUAGUCAACUAUUGUACUUCAGCUGAUGCAUCCUAUAUUCUGGAGGAGUGUGUUGAAAGGCAGCAGAUUUCCCUCUUUUUUUGCCCUCCAGUUUCAGCUAAAAAUUCUUCCCCCACUGCAAGUCAAGAGUUGGGAGCUACUAUGACAUGCUGUAUGAGGCAGCUUCUAAGGAAAAAAUAAAUAUUCCUUAAAUCCACCUUAUUUUUGACAGGUUUCUUAAAGGAUCCCCAACAAUAUAAUUCAAUCAAGAAAGUAGUGGAGAAACACGUUCAGGUUUGGUUUGGUUGAUUUUUUUUUUUAAUGUUUCAUCUUCACUUUACAAUCUGAAUCUGCAAACUAAGGCAUAGGUGACUGACUGCUUGAUUGUGAUGGGUAACCCAUGUAACAGUCUGCAACGUAUUUACUCUGGUUGAGAUACACACACACACACACAUACACACGUAUAUGAAAAAUAUUUGUUAAAAACCGGAUUACUUUUCAGGGGCAACAGUGUCAUUGAGUAGCCUCUUCCUUUUCAAUUUAGCAAGAAGCGCUGGGGCAAAUUAAGGCAGUUCCAUCAGUUAUUUCCUUCUUUCCCGUGCGGGCUUUGAAAGGACUUCUCGAAAACCACCCUACGCCGAAAUCACGAAACGCCCGGGCCCGUGGCACCGCCGAGGCCCCUGGCUCCAGCUGCCCCCCGGG